rnacentral:rRNA from 1 species
CRCGAAAGUGUGAUGGGGGGACUCAAAGUGCUUAUACUUAUGGUAUAGGCUUUUGCUAAGUCAAAAUUGYUUGRCGARUAAGKGGUGGRAAAGACUGGKGCCAGCCGCCGCGGUAACCCCAKCGCCASGAGKGGGAACCAGUWUUAUUGGGCCUAAAGCGUCCGUAGCAGGUUUGUUAAWKKGCUUGUGAAAUCGCWUMGCUCAACGRUGCGGAAUGCAKGUARGACUGGYAGACUASAGACCGGGAGAAGUCARAGGUAUUCAGGGGGGAGCGGUAAAAUGCKAGAAUCCUUUGAGGACCACCUGUGGCGAAGGCGUCUGACAAUAACGGGUCUGACUGUGAGGGACGAAAGCUAGGGGAGCGAACCGGAUUAGAUACCCGAGUAGUCCUAGCCCUAAACGCUGUGAACUAGGUGUUGCAUAAUCUUCGGGAUUGUGCAGUAUCGUAGAGAAGUCGUUAASUUCACCGCCUGGGAAGUACGGCCGCAAGACUGAAACUUAAAGGAAUUGGCGGGGGAGCACA